AGUUUCCAAUAAAAAGAAAUAAAUCUUUCUAAACAACCAUAGAAUUAUGCAAUAGUUCUGAAAUUCUUCAGAAUUUCCUGAAACUAAAUUUUUUAUUCAUAAUAGAAAUAUGAAGCAGAAAAUACAUGUCUAUAUCCUUCCAUUAUAUACUGUUUUCAUAGUGCUUUUAGACAAAUGCAGUAUAUCAAGGCACUAAUAUUAAAUCCAUCAAGGACUAUCUAUUGCUUGUUUUAAGUCGGUCUGGUUAGAUGGAUUAUUGUAAGAUUUCAGAAAAAAAUUAAGAGAUGCAACCACAGAAAGUAGCUCUCUUUUCAAACCACAGAACUAGAGGUGAAACAAGUGUUCACACCAUGAAAACAAACUUUGUGAUUUGGUUGGAAGGCCGAGGUCCGGCCCGGGGUCCAGCCUGGGAGAGCCAGGGGUGGCUCCGGGACCUGCAAUUAGGGAUCCCAGUCUCUUGGCACCCAUUCCAGUGUGCAUGCCUCUAGCAUGAGCACACCCUGACUCCAAAGGAAAGGACUGACACCUCUUAGACUGUAGAAAAUAAUAGUUAUACACAGUUGUAGGAAUAGGAGAACAGAUUGUGAACACUUAAUUUUGUAAUCUGUAAUGAUCCUCAAGUACAGUUAGUAUUGUUUUUAAUAAACUGUUGCUGUUUAACCUAGUCCUAUGGAAAAGAAUUACCUCAUUAUAAAGAGAAUGUACUUGAGUGAUAAACGUUUUAUUUUCUAAAUUUUACAAAUGCAGUUAAAUUGAUAUUUGGGGAAAUCUGCUUUAAAAACAAUCCUAGGAGAAGCUUUCUUUCCUAGCUAGUAUGUAAAUAUAUCCAGCAUAGAGUUGUAACUAGUAAAACAGAAACUGCUGUUAUAAUCUUACCCUGUCUUAGAAUUUGAAGUUCUUUGCCAGUUUCAUUUAUCACCACUUACACUAGUCUAGAAACUUUUACAAGAAUGUUACUGAGGCAGUGUGCCAGUGAAUGGCGUUUAAUGUCAUCCCUUUGGAACUGCUUCUCUCUAACUUAACUGUGAGAUGAUAGAUAACCAGUGUAACCUAUACUAACUAUUUUUCUAUCU